AGGAUAUCAUCAUAUACUGUAAGUUUGCGACAAGAUACUACAGUAUAGAUGAUGUACUAG
ensembl:miRNA MIR144 microRNA 144